UGGAGUAUAGUAUAGAUGGCGAGUGCGUGUACCAGCUGGCAAGGUGUAGGUUCGAUUCCUACUACUCCAGA
rnacentral:tRNA from 1 species